GGAAUAUUGGACAAUGGGCGAAAGCCUGAUCCAGCAAUGCCGCGUGAGUGAUGAAGGCCUUAGGGUUGUAAAGCUCUUUUACCAGGGAUGAUAAUGACAGUACCUGGAGAAUAAGCUCCGGCUAACUCCGUGCCAGCAGCCGCGGUAAUACGGAGGGAGCUAGCGUUGUUCGGAAUUACUGGGCGUAAAGAGUACGUAGGCGGUUAUUCAAGUCAGAGGUGAAAGCCUGGAGCUCAACUCCAGAACUGCCUUUGAAACUAGAUAACUAGAAUCUUGGAGAGGUGAGUGGAAUUCCGAGUGUAGAGGUGAAAUUCGUAGAUAUUCGGAAGAACACCAGUGGCGAAGGCGACUCACUGGACAAGUAUUGACGCUGAGGUACGAAAGCGUGGGGAGCAAACAGGAUUAGAUACCCUGGUAGUCCACGCCGUAAACGAUGAUAACUAGCUGUUCGGGCUCUACGAGCUUGAGUGGCGCAGCUAACGCAUUAAGUUAUCCGCCUGGGGAGUACGGUCGCAAGAUUAAAACUCAAAGGAAUUGACGG
rnacentral:rRNA from 1 species